AGCGAACGCUGGCGGCAGGCCUAACACAUGCAAGUCGAACGGAUCCUUCGGGAUUAGUGGCGGACGGGUGAGUAACACGUGGGAACGUGCCCUUUGGUUCGGAACAACUCAGGGAAACUUGAGCUAAUACCGGAUGUGCCCUUCGGGGGAAAGAUUUAUCGCCAUUUGAGCGGCCCGCGUCUGAUUAGCUAGUUGGUGAGGUAACGGCCCACCAAGGCGACGAUCAGUAGCUGGUCUGAGAGGAUGAUCAGCCACACUGGGACUGAGACACGGCCCAGACUCCUACGGGAGGCAGCAGUGGGGAAUCUUGCGCAAUGGGCGAAAGCCUGACGCAGCCAUGCCGCGUGAAUGAUGAAGGUCUUAGGAUUGUAAAAUUCUUUCAGCGGGGACGAUAAUGACGGUACCCGCAGAAGAAGCUCCGGCUAACUUCGUG
rnacentral:rRNA from 1 species